rnacentral:rRNA from 1 species
GACGUAGGGCGCGAGCGUUGUCCGGAUUUAUUGGGCGUAAAGAGCGUGUAGGCGGCCAUGUAGGUCCGUUGUGAAAACUCGAGGCUCAACCUCGAGACGCCGAUGGAAACCAUGUGGCUAGAGUCCGGAAGAGGAGAGUGGAAUUCCUGGUGUAGCGGUGAAAUGCGCAGAUAUCAGGAAGAACACCCGUGGCUAAGGCGGCUCUCUAGUACGGUACUGACGCUGAGACGCGAAAGCGUGGGGAGCGAACAGG